GAAAUUCCUUGUCGGGUAAGCGGAAGGAGCAAGCCCGACGUUAAAAACCAACUAUAUCGGUGGAGCCCAUUGAAUGAAUGGGUAAUACCGAGGGAAGUUUCCAGAUUAAAUCUGGAUAACCCUGUAGAGACUACACGUUGGUACCGAUUAAAUCGGUAAAGAUAUAGUCCACGCAACUAGUAAUAGUUGA
rnacentral:ncRNA from 1 species